rnacentral:rRNA from 1 species
UACGUAGGGUGCGAGCGUUGUCCGGAAUUAUUGGGCGUAAAGAGCUCGUAGGCGGGGUGUCGCGUCGGUCGUGAAAACUUGGGGCUUAACUCUGAGCUUGCGGUCGAUACGGGCAUCACUGGAGUUCGGCAGGGGAGACUGGAAUUCCUGGUGUAGCGGUGAAAUGCGCAGAUAUCAGGAGGAACACCGGUGGCGAAGGCGGGUCUCUGGGCCGAUACUGACGCUGAGGAGCGAAAGCGUGGGGAGCGAACAGG